rnacentral:rRNA from 1 species
CGGAUUAGCGGCGGACGGGUGAGUAACACGUGGGUAACCUGCCUCAUAGAGGGGAAUAGCCUCCCGAAAGGGAGAUUAAUACCGCAUAACAUUGCAGUUUCGCAUGAAACAGCAAUUAAAGGAGCAAUCCGCUAUGAGAUGGACCCGCGGCGCAUUAGCUAGUUGGUAAGGUAAUGGCUUACCAAGGCGACGAUGCGUAGCCGACCUGAGAGGGUGAUCGGCCACAUUGGGACUGAGACACGGCCCAGACUCCUACGGGAGGCAGCAGUGGGGAAUAUUGCACAAUGGGGGAAACCCUGAUGCAGCAACGCCGCGUGAGUGAUGACGGUCUUCGGAUUGUAAAGCUCUGUCUUUGGGGACGAUAAUGACGGUACCCAAGGAGGAAGCCACGGCUAACUACGUGCCAGCAGCCGCGGUAAUACGUAGGUGGCGAGCGUUGUCCGGAUUUACUGGGCGUAAAGGGAGCGUAGGCGGAUUUUUAAGUGGGAUGUGAAAUACCCGGGCUCAACCUGGGUGCUGCAUUCCAAACUGGGAAUCUAGAGUGCAGGAGGGGAGAGUGGAAUUCCUAGUGUAGCGGUGAAAUGCCUAGAGAUUAGGAAGAACACCACUGGCGAAGGCCGACUCUCUGGACUGUAACUGACGCUGAGGCUCGAAAGCGUGGGGA